UCCAGUUCCAGCACUACCCCAUAAAAUCAUGGAAUUGCACCUAUCUUGUUCAAUCAGAUUACGAAUGAUGCCUCGCUCACCAACCAGCUCUUCCUGACCAACAUAUUCAUCUAGUGAUUUGGGUCUUGCUCGUUCCGCCAGUGGUCGUGUAUCCCGUCUUGUAAGUUUAGUUUUCUUUGUAGGGCUGGGUUCAGGCUCUAUAAAUUUUGUAGCGCUCUGGUGAGAUGAGACAUUUGUUUCUAAAUGAUGUUUAUAGCGUUCCUUUUUAAAAAAGGGUGAAACAGGUUUCGAAGGGCCUGAUGAGUCCGAAUAAUGUGAAUCAAGGUGUGGAUUAAUGUCAUUCAUCGUAACUGUUUUCGCGCAAACAGGACAUUGAACAUGAUCUGGUCCUGACAUUCUGAUUUACAUAGAUAAAAGUAUGUGGUACGAAAGGUAAACAGAUAAAUCUGGAAUGAAACAAUAACACAUACAAAUGAGCGACCUUUGGCAAGAAAGUUUACAAAAAAAAGUAACGUUUAAGGAAUUUUGAUCAUCAAAAUUGCUUGUUGUUUAUGACACUCUCAACAGCAAUAUAACAGAGCUGAACGGCAUCGAUUGUACAAAACCGUGAACCAAGUCGUCGCGUGUAGUUAGGGAAUUAUACGAUGAAGUAAGAGGUUAUAAUAAUAUCAAAGU